GAUGAACGCUGGCGGCGUGCCUAAUACAUGCCAGUCGAGCGAACAGACGAGGAGCUUGCUCCUUUGACGUUAGCGGCGGACGGGUGAGUAACACGUGGAUAACCUACCUAUAAGACUGGGAUAACUUCGGGAAACCGGAGCUAAUACCGGAUAAUAUAUUGAACCGCAUGGUUCAAUAGUGAAAGACGGUUUUGCUGUCACUUAUAGAUGGAUCCGCGCCGCAUUAGCUAGUUGGUAAGGUAACGGCUUACCAAGGCAACGAUGCGUAGCCGACCUGAGAGGGGGGUCGGCCGCACGGGAACUGAGACGCGGUCCAUGCUCCUACGAGAGGCAGCAGUAGGGAAUCUGCCGCAAUAGGCGAAAGCCUGGCGGAGCAACGCCGCGUGAGUGGUGAAGGUCUUCGGAUCGUAAAACUCUGUUAUUAGGGAAGAACAAAUGUGUAAGUAACUAUGCACGUCUUGACGGUACCUAGUCAGAAAGCCACGGCUAACUACGUG
rnacentral:rRNA from 1 species